UACGAAUGGAGCGAGCGUUGUUCGGAAUCACUGGGCGUAAAGGGUGCGCAGGCGGUCUUGAAAGUUAGAAGUGAAAGCCCCGGGCUUAACCCGGGAAUUGCUUUUAAAACUCCAAGACUUGAGUACUGGAGAGGUUGGCGGAAUUCCGAGUGUAGAGGUGAAAUUCGCAGAUAUUCGGAGGAACACCAAUGGCGUAGGCAGCCAACUGGACAGUAAGCUGACGCUCAUGCACGAAAGC
rnacentral:rRNA from 1 species